GUGCUUGCUUCUGCAGCACAUAUACUAAAAUGGCAAUGAUACAGAGAAGAUUAGCAUGACCUCUGUGCAAGGAUGAUGCAAAUUUGUGAAGUGUUCCAUAUUUAA